rnacentral:rRNA from 1 species
UACAGAGGUCCCGAGCGUUGUUCGGAUUCACUGGGCGUAAAGAGUGCGUAGGUGGCGAGGAAAGUCGGAUGUGAAAGCUCGGAGCUCAACUCCGAAAUGGCAUUGGAAACUACCUUGCUAGAGGGUUGGAGGGGGGACUGGAAUUCUCGGUGUAGCAGUGAAAUGCGUAGAUAUCGAGAGGAACACCAGUGGCGAAGGCGAGUCCCUGGACAACUCCUGACACUGAGGCACGAAAGCUAGGGGAGCAAACAGG